AUUAAAUGUAAAUAACACUCGGAUGAGAAGAUGAAAACAAGCUCCUGGUCUUGUUCAUGGGGGGGAAAGGGUGGUGAAUUCUCCCUCUCUGUAGUAUGGCAGAGUUAAGUUUCUGCUUUCCCUUGGUCUGACGAUUUUGCCUUUUUGUGGUGGGAUUCCAGCUAAUGCUGCAAAGCUUUCAGGUUCAAUGGGACCAUCACUCUCUGCAGUUUAUCAGUCUUUGGGCGAUGGUCGCACACUACCUUCCUGCAGAAGCCAUGGAAACAAUGGCUUUAAACAUCCAUUUGCUCAGGAUUUUGUGUGACAUUAUAUGUGUGUGCUUCACAUGUCUGCAAAAAGAGAGGUACCUCAGAAACAACACCUACUAUGGUCUUCAAACACUGUUUGACAAAAAACAGAUGAGAGGAUAAAGAAUUAAGAAGUUUCCAUUGCAAGGAUUGUGAAGCUAUCCAACAUUUUAACAAGGCUAUUGUUAAUGCUUUGGAAAAGCUUUUCUUUAAUCAGAUAUUUAAUGCUGCAGCAAUCAGAACAGAAUAAUAGUGAUUCUUUAGCAGCUUGGAAAAUAAGGACAAUGGCUACUGCAGUGUGUAGCAGUGAUCCUUAACUGUCUAACAGCUAAACACCUAUUGAGAGCAAAGGAAGAUGUGUUUCCCCUCCAUUUUCAAGAGUUUCCAUCAUCCUCUACUAUUUUUGACAAGAAUUUACUUGUUAUUGCAAUGAUGAAUAUCUUAUCUUGCUGUGAUCGCUGAUAUCUUUCCUAUUUAAUGAGAUAAAACCUGGAAGGGUCAAGAAGAUCACCAAAUUCUUUUAUGACUGGGGACCAUAUGCCCUUUUUCUUUAAAUAACUACAUAUUGAAUGUCCUCUUCAAACAGCUUAGCUACUUGAAUUACAGGUUGCAGUCUGACCCUGGAAUUUUGUCAGGGAAAAUUUGAUUAAAGUUAUUUCCACAUGCUCUGAUUUAUGCAAUAUCUUCUUUGUUUGUAGCUUAAGAAAUAGGAGUGCCACGAAACAUUUUUUUUGCCAUCAGCAAGCAUAUUACAGAUCUUCACUGAAAUCAUAUACUUUUGUCUGAAGUUCUAACUUUCUGUGGCUCUAUGAAUAGCCACAGAAAUAAGAUGCCUGUGGCCAUGAGGGACAUAGUGAAUACAGGUCUCUAAGUGUUUCAUAAUUGCAUAGAAGAGAACAAAUUCAAAACAUGUUUUUGAAGGAGAUACACCACAGAAUAUCUUAGAGCCAAAUCAGGACAAGAAUUUCUUCUGAGAGAAGAAAGUUAAUUUUCAAAUUCUUCCUCUAAAUAAAACAUGAACUUUAGGGACCUAAUUUAGAUUU
rnacentral:lncRNA from 1 species